rnacentral:lncRNA from 1 species
AACAUUUACAAAUCCAAGGGCCGGAUUCAUAUACCAUUUGGUUAGAGGGAACAAGAUUGAUCUAGCCACGUACAUCUACAAUCAAAUUCUUGGUACAGGCACUUGGGGUGAUAGGCACUACUCCCUAAUUUUUCCCAGUCUGAUAUGUGGAAUAUGUAGAGCAGCAGGAAUACAAAUCCAACCUGGGGAAGCACCGGAAAAGCCAAGUCCCUUUAUCAAGCAAUCCACACUAGAGGCCCAAGACCGAGCAAGACUGAAGCACCAACAGAAAUUAGAGAACGCACGACGAC